CCUACGGGCGGCAGCAGUGGGGAAUAUUGGACAAUGGGCGAAAGCCUGAUCCAGCCAUGCCGCGUGUGUGAAGAAGGCGUUCGGGUUGUAAAGCACUUUCAGUGGGGAAGAAAGCCUUGGGGCUAAUACCCUCGAGGAAGGACAUCACCCACAGAAGAAGCACCGGCUAACUCCGUGCCAGCAGCCGCGGUAAUACGGAGGGUGCGAGCGUUAAUCGGAAUUACUGGGCGUAAAGCGCGCGUAGGCGGUCUGAUAAGCCGGUUGUGAAAGCCCCGGGCUCAACCUGGGAACGGCAUCCGGAACUGUCAGGCUAGAGUGCAGGAGAGGAAGGUAGAAUUCCCGGUGUAGCGGUGAAAUGCGUAGAGAUCGGGAGGAAUACCAGUGGCGAAGGCGGCCUUCUGGACUGACACUGACGCUGAGGUGCGAAAGCGUGGGUAGCAAACAGGAUUAGAUACCCCAGUAGUC
rnacentral:rRNA from 1 species